rnacentral:rRNA from 1 species
AUACGGAGGGUGCAAGCGUUAUCCGGAAUCAUUGGGUUUAAAGGGUCCGUAGGCGGGUUUGUAAGUCAGUGGUGAAAGUUUUCGGCUCAACCGGAAAAUUGCCAUCGAUACUGCAAGUCUUGAAUCAUUAUGAAGUGGUUAGAAUGUGUAGUGUAGCGGUGAAAUGCAUAGAUAUUACACAGAAUACCGAUUGCGAAGGCAGAUCACUAAUAAUGUAUUGGCGCUAAGGGACGAAAGCGUGGGUAGCGAACAGGAUUAGAAACCCCGGUAGUCC